GACAGAGGUGCCAAGCGUCAGGCGGAAUCACUGGGCUUAAAGCGUGUGUAGGUGGACGUCUAAGUGCCUUGUGAAAUCCCACGGCUCAACCGUGGAAUUGCUCGGCAUACUGGGCGUCUUGAGCCACUUAGGGGUCGCUGGAACAAACGGUGGAGCGGUGAAAUGCGUAGAUAUCGUUUGGAACGCCAAUGGUGAAAACAGGCGACUGGGAGUGUGCUGACACUGAGACACGAAAGCCAGGGGAGCAAACGGG
rnacentral:rRNA from 1 species